rnacentral:rRNA from 1 species
GCCCUACGGGAGGCAGCAGUGGGGAAUAUUGCACAAUGGGCGAAAGCCUGACGCAGCGACGCCGCGUGAGGGAUGAAGGCCUUUGGGUCGUAAACCUCUGUCGGAGGGGAAGAAAUUUUGACGGUACCCUCCAAGGAAGCCCCGGCUAACUACGUGCCAGCAGCCGCGGUAAU